GCAUCAGUGGUGUAGCGGUAACAUUGGGUCUUCCCACCUGGUACUGCACAACAAUGUGUAAUCAAUGUUUCUGAUGUGGCCUAGCUCCGGGUUCGACUCCCGGCUGAUGCA